AGUGAACGCUGGCGGUAGGCCUAACACAUGCAAGUCGAACGGCAGCACAGUAAGAGCUUGCUCUUACGGGUGGCGAGUGGCGGACGGGUGAGGAAUACAUCGGAAUCUACUUUUUCGUGGGGGAUAACGUAGGGAAACUUACGCUAAUACCGCAUACGACCUACGGGUGAAAGCAGGGGAUCUUCGGACCUUGCGCGAUUGAAUGAGCCGAUGUCGGAUUAGCUAGUUGGCGGGGGAAAGGCCCACCAAGGCGACGAUCCGUAGCUGGUCUGAGAGGAUGAUCAGCCACACUGGAACUGAGACACGGUCCAGACUCCUACGGGAGGCAGCAGUGGGGAAUAUUGGACAAUGGGCGCAAGCCUGAUCCAGCCAUACCGCGUGGGUGAAGAAGGCCUUCGGGUUGUAAAGCCCUUUUGUUGGGAAAGAAAAGCAGCAGGCUAAUACCCCGCUGUUCUGACGGUACCCAAAGAAUAAGCACCGGCUAACUUCGUG
rnacentral:rRNA from 1 species